GGGUUGUGAGGUUAAGCGACUAAGCGUACACGGUGGAUGCCCUGGCAGUCAGAGGCGAUGAAGGGCGUGCUAAUCUGCGAUAAGCGCCGGUAAGGUGAUAUGAACCGUUAUAACCGGCGAUACCCGAAUGGGGAAACCCAGUGUGAUUCGUCACACUAUCAUUAACUGAAUCCAUAGGUUAAUGAGGCGAACCGGGGGAACUGAAACAUCUAAGUACCCCGAGGAAAAGAAAUCAACCGAGAUUCCCCCAGUAGCGGCGAGCGAACGGGGAGGAGCCCAGAGCCUGAAUCAGCAUGUGUGUUAGUGGAAGCGUCUGGAAAGGCGCGCGAUACAGGGUGACAGCCCCGUACACAAAAGCGCAUGUGCUGUGAGCUCGAUGAGUAGGGCGGGACACGUGGUAUCCUGUCUGAAUAUGGGGGGACCAUCCUCCAAGGCUAAAUACUCCUGACUGACCGAUAGUGAACCAGUACCGUGAGGGAAAGGCGAAAAGAACCCCGGCGAGGGGAGUGAAAAAGAACCUGAAACCGUGUACGUACAAGCAGUGGGAGCACCCUUUGGGUGUGACUGCGUACCUUUUGUAUAAUGGGUCAGCGACUUAUAUUCUGUAGCAAGGUUAACCGAAUAGGGGAGCCGGAGGGAAACCGAGUCUUAACCGGGCGUUAAGUUGCAGGGUAUAGACCCGAAACCCGGUGAUCUAGCCAUGGGCAGGUUGAAGGUUGGGUAACACUAACUGGAGGACCGAACCGACUAAUGUUGAAAAAUUAGCGGAUGACCUGUGGCUGGGGGUGAAAGGCCAAUCAAACCGGGAGAUAGCUGGUUCUCCCCGAAAGCUAUUUAGGUAGCGCCUCGUGAAUUCAUCUCCGGGGGUAGAGCACUGUUUCGGCUAGGGGGCCAUCCCGGCUUACCAACCCGAUGCAAACUGCGAAUACCGGAGAAUGUUAUCACGGGAGACACACGGCGGGUGCUAACGUCCGUCGUGAAGAGGGAAACAACCCAGACCGCCAGCUAAGGUCCCAAAGUCAUGGUUAAGUGGGAAACGAUGUGGGAAGGCCCAGACAGCCAGGAUGUUGGCUUAGAAGCAGCCAUCAUUUAAAGAAAGCGUAAUAGCUCACUGGUCGAGUCGGCCUGCGCGGAAGAUGUAACGGGGCUAAACCAUGCACCGAAGCUGCGGCAGCGACACUGUGUGUUGUUGGGUAGGGGAGCGUUCUGUAAGCCUGUGAAGGUGUGUCGUGAGGCAUGCUGGAGGUAUCAGAAGUGCGAAUGCUGACAUAAGUAACGAUAAAGCGGGUGAAAAGCCCGCUCGCCGGAAGACCAAGGGUUCCUGUCCAACGUUAAUCGGGGCAGGGUGAGUCGACCCCUAAGGCGAGGCCGAAAGGCGUAGUCGAUGGGAAACGGGUUAAUAUUCCCGUACUUGGUGUUACUGCGAAGGGGGGACGGAGAAGGCUAUGUUGGCCGGGCGACGGUUGUCCCGGUUUAAGCGUGUAGGCUGGUUUUCCAGGCAAAUCCGGAAAAUCAAGGCUGAGGCGUGAUGACGAGGCACUACGGUGCUGAAGCAACAAAUGCCCUGCUUCCAGGAAAAGCCUCUAAGCAUCAGGUAACAUCAAAUCGUACCCCAAACCGACACAGGUGGUCAGGUAGAGAAUACCAAGGCGCUUGAGAGAACUCGGGUGAAGGAACUAGGCAAAAUGGUGCCGUAACUUCGGGAGAAGGCACGCUGACACGUAGGUGAAGUGAUUUACUCAUGGAGCUGAAGUCAGUCGAAGAUACCAGCUGGCUGCAACUGUUUAUUAAAAACACAGCACUGUGCAAACACGAAAGUGGACGUAUACGGUGUGACGCCUGCCCGGUGCCGGAAGGUUAAUUGAUGGGGUCAGCGCAAGCGAAGCUCCUGAUCGAAGCCCCGGUAAACGGCGGCCGUAACUAUAACGGUCCUAAGGUAGCGAAAUUCCUUGUCGGGUAAGUUCCGACCUGCACGAAUGGCGUAAUGAUGGCCAGGCUGUCUCCACCCGAGACUCAGUGAAAUUGAACUCGCUGUGAAGAUGCAGUGUACCCGCGGCAAGACGGAAAGACCCCGUGAACCUUUACUAUAGCUUGACACUGAACAUUGAGCCUUGAUGUGUAGGAUAGGUGGGAGGCUUUGAAGUGUGGACGCCAGUCUGCAUGGAGCCGACCUUGAAAUACCACCCUUUAAUGUUUGAUGUUCUAACGUGGACCCGUUACCCGGGUUGCGGACAGUGUCUGGUGGGUAGUUUGACUGGGGCGGUCUCCUCCUAAAGAGUAACGGAGGAGCACGAAGGUUGGCUAAUCCUGGUCGGACAUCAGGAGGUUAGUGCAAUGGCAUAAGCCAGCUUGACUGCGAGCGUGACGGCGCGAGCAGGUGCGAAAGCAGGUCAUAGUGAUCCGGUGGUUCUGAAUGGAAGGGCCAUCGCUCAACGGAUAAAAGGUACUCCGGGGAUAACAGGCUGAUACCGCCCAAGAGUUCAUAUCGACGGCGGUGUUUGGCACCUCGAUGUCGGCUCAUCACAUCCUGGGGCUGAAGUAGGUCCCAAGGGUAUGGCUGUUCGCCAUUUAAAGUGGUACGCGAGCUGGGUUUAGAACGUCGUGAGACAGUUCGGUCCCUAUCUGCCGUGGGCGCUGGAGAACUGAGGGGGGCUGCUCCUAGUACGAGAGGACCGGAGUGGACGCAUCACUGGUGUUCGGGUUGUCAUGCCAAUGGCACUGCCCGGUAGCUAAAUGCGGAAGAGAUAAGUGCUGAAAGCAUCUAAGCACGAAACUUGCCCCGAGAUGAGUUCUCCCUGAGACUUAGAGUCUCCUGAAGGAACGUUGAAGACGACGACGUUGAUAGGCCGGGUGUGUAAGCGCAGCGAUGCGUUGAGCUAACCGGUACUAAUGAACCGUGAGGCUUAACCUUACAACGCCGAAG
rnacentral:rRNA from 1 species